AUUGAACGCUGGCGGCAGGCUUAACACAUGCAAGUCGAGCGGGGGAAGGUAGCUUGCUACCGGGCCUAGCGGCGGACGGGUGAGUAAUGCUUAGGAAUCUGCCUAUUAGUGGGGGACAACAUUUCGAAAGGAAUGCUAAUAACGCAUACGUCCUACGGGAGAAAGCAGGGGAUCUUCGGACCUUGCGCUAAUAGAUGAGCCUAAGUCGGAUUAGCGAGUUGGUGGGGUAAAGGCCUACCAAGGCGACGAUCUGUAGCGGGUCUGAGAGGAUGAUCCGCCACACUGGGACUGAGACACGGCCCAGACUCCUACGGGAGGCAGCAGUGGGGAAUAUUGGACAAUGGGCGCAAGCCUGAUCCAGCCAUGCCGCGUGUGUGAAGAAGGCCUUAUGGUUGUAAAGCACUUUAAGCGAGGAGGAGGCUACUUUAGAUAAUACCUAGAGAUAGUGGACGUUACUCGCAGAAUAAGCACCGGCUAACUCUGUGCCAGCCGCCGCCGUAA
rnacentral:rRNA from 1 species